rnacentral:rRNA from 1 species
AUUGAACGCUGGCGGCAGGCCUAACACAUGCAAGUCGAGCGAGCGGCGGACGGGUGAGUAAUGUCUGGGAAACUGCCUUAUUGAGGGGGAUAACUACUGGAAACGGUAGCUAAUACCGCAUUCCAUCAGACGUGCCCAGAGGGGAUUGGCUUGUAGGUUGGGUAACGGCUCACCUAGGCGACGAUCCCUAGCUGGUCUGCGAGGAUGACCAGCAACACUGGAACUGGGAAACGGUCCAGACUCCUACGGGAGGCAGAAGUGGGGAAUAUUGCACAAUGGGAGCAAGCCUGAUGCAGCCAUGACGCGUGUGUGAAGAAGGCCUUCGGGUUGUAAAGCAAUUUCAGCGGGGAGGCGGUACCCGCAGAAGAAGCACAGGCUAACUCCGUGCCAGAAGAAGCGGUAAUAC